UAAAGAUAGAUGACACCUGCCAAACUCCUCCCAAAUUUUCCCAAACUCCUGCCCUUAAAAUAGGUUAAGCUGACAGGGUACAAAUUUGUGAGCCUAGUUUGGACAUUUGUGUCUCAAAGUGGCCAACAGGAGGAUAUAGAGGGUUCUCCUAUCCAAAGCGCCACAUUUGAAUUGAAAUAAGGAAAACAGGAUUUGGUGGAUUUUGGCUGUCUUUGCUGGAGUGUUUCUUUACACGUUUUUCUUCUUUUCUUACUAUUUAAUGUUUCAUUUGUUGUGUAGAUUUUUUUGUCAUUGCCUCUACUUUUUUAUGGGGUCAGUGUCUCUUCUUGACCGAGAGCCACAGGAAGCUGGUGGAAGAAACGUGAACGGGGCAGGUGAUGAUGACAGAGAAACUGCUGCAGAGAUGCAACCAAUCCAUGAUUAAAAGGGAGAUCUGCUAGACAUGCCAAUGUAUCACAAUUUCAUUUUAGACAUUUUAUUCUCAACAAUUGUUACAAUUAUUAUUACAACAAAGAUUUAUUCAAAACUUUAUUUUCUUUCCCUUCAUUAACAGGCUAGUAGAUGAAUACAGAAUAAAGAGAUGGCUGAAGAAGCACUGUUUCUCCACAAAUGGCAAGAGGAUUAUGGGGACCACCACACCCUGCAAACAUCAUCCUUGUCUUUAGCCCUUAAACAAAGACAAAUGAAUCUUUUUCACACAAACAAAAAAUUAGGUGCUUGUUGACUCUGGUAACAAAAAUAACUGAAGGGAUAAUGUAGCAUCAUGUGAAAGGGUCAAUGACGUGACGCAUCUUUUUUUUUUUUUUUUGUCCAAAGGCCUUAAUAAUAAUAAAAAACAAAGAUAUGACAUUCAAAGUAUCUCUUUUAUUGAAUCCAAAAGGUUUUAAUUAUAUUUUGCUACAUAUAAAGGUAUUUUAAAGAUUCUUAAGUGUCAAAAGGUCAUUCGGUUUAACCGUCCAAAGGCCAAUACAGCCAUUUCAUUUGUGAUUAAAAUAUCUGAAAAUGUAAUAAAUGUAUAUAUUUUUUAUUCUGGCAUGAUUUUAUAACAUCAUAUAUCAACAUAAUGCAAAAUGGUUUUAAAAUUAUGUGUAGAAGUCGUUGCUUUGUUAUGAGAAAUAAAGUUAAUUUCAUUGA